UACGUAGGGUGCGGCGUAAUCGGAAUUACUGGGCGUAAAGCGUGCGCAGGCGGUUGUGCAAGACAGAUGUGAAAUCCCCGGGCUUAACCUGGGAAUUGCAUUUGUGACUGCACGGCUAGAGUGUGUCAGAGGGAGGUAGAAUUCCACGUGUAGCAGUGAAAUGCGUAGAUAUGUGGAGGAAUACCGAUGGCGAAGGCAGCCUCCUGGGAUAACACUGACGCUCAUGCACGAAAGCGUGGGGAGCAAACAGG
rnacentral:rRNA from 1 species